CGUAGGGUGCAAGCGUUGUCCGGAUUUAUUGGGCGUAAAGAGCUCGUAGGCGGUUUCGUAAGUCAGAAGUUAAAUCACCAGGCUCAACCUGGUGCUGCUUUUGAUACUGCGAUGACUUGAGUGUGGCAGGGGAGAACAGAAUUCCACGUGUAGCGGUGAAAUGCGCAGAUAUGUGGAGGAAUACCGAUGGCGAAGGCAGUUCUCUGGGCCAUUACUGACGCUGAGGAGCGAAAGCGUGGGGAGCGAACAGGAUUAGAUACCCUGGUAGUCCACGCCGUAAACGGUGGGUACUAGGUGUGGGAAGUAACCAACACUUUCCGUGCCGGCGCUAACGCAUUAAGUACCCCGCCUGGGGAGUACGGUCGCAAGACUA
rnacentral:rRNA from 1 species